rnacentral:rRNA from 1 species
AUUGAACGCUGGCGGCAGGCCUAACACAUGCAAGUCGAGCGGAUGACGGGAGCUUGCUCCUUGAUUCAGCGGCGGACGGGUGAGUAAUGCCUAGGAAUCUGCCUGGUAGUGGGGGACAACGUUUCGAAAGGAACGCUAAUACCGCAUACGUCCUACGGGAGAAAGCAGGGGACCUUCGGGCCUUGCGCUAUCAGAUGAGCCUAGGUCGGAUUAGCUAGUUGGUGAGGUAAUGGCUCACCAAGGCGACGAUCCGUAACUGGUCUGAGAGGAUGAUCAGUCACACUGGAACUGAGACACGGUCCAGACUCCUACGGGAGGCAGCAGUGGGGAAUAUUGGACAAUGGGCGAAAGCCUGAUCCAGCCAUGCCGCGUGUGUGAAGAAGGUCUUCGGAUUGUAAAGCGCUUUAAGUUGGGAGGAAGGGCAGUAAGCUAAUACCUUGCUGUUUUGACGUUACCGACAGAAUAAGCACCGGCUAACUCUGUGCCAGCAGCCGCUGUAACAC